rnacentral:tRNA from 1 species
GGUAAUAUACUUUAAUAACAAAAGACUCGAUUUGCAUUCGAAAAAUAGAAUACAUUUUCUUAUUACCA